rnacentral:lncRNA from 1 species
CAGCUCCCACAGCGCCCAGUGCCUGGCAUGUGCUCCACAGACACACGAAGAAAUGAAGGCGGGUACAGGAGAGGAAGGGGACAAGAGGACAGAGGAAGGCUGUGGAUCCGGUCGUGGGAAGCAGCUUUCUGUGCCUCAGCCCUCCACAGAGAAGACUGCUAGGCCUGAGCUGACUCCCCUGGAAACCCCAGACUCCAGUGACGUGCUUCUGGAACCUGCUCAGACAAAGUUAGGUAAGAGCCUGGGCAGUGGGUGGGUUGCAACACCCAGCCUGGCUGACCAGAAAGCUGAAGAGGACUGGAAGUUCAAGAAGAAGUAGAGAGGAGGUGGAGAGAGAGAAAGGGCAGAAGGAGGAGACAUCGAAGACCUCCCGAACAUCUUCUGUGGGAUCUCAGAGAAGGCAAAGCUCACCCUCCUGACUCCAGGACUCAUUUGUGUCCAGCCACUGAAUUAUCUACUUGUUACCCCUCCUGUGGAUCUCUCCCGAGGGAAAGAUCUACCUUGGAAGGCUGGUAAUAAAAGGUAAUAAAAGAUCUCUAAGGCA